rnacentral:lncRNA from 10 species
GCCAGUGGCCAGAAUUAAAUCUGUUGUUUUAAAUCAUGAGCUUUCAAUGAGAGGACUGUUUUCUGCUGCACUUCUUGGUUUGUCUAACUGGUUUACCAGAAGUCUGAACUCUUGUUCCUGUUCAUCACAAUAGGGGAUGAACUCUCCGACCUCUUAGAAUCACAGAAGCUACACAGGAAAAGGGAAGACUGCGCUCGGCCUGGAUUCUGGCCCCACCUUAGCCCCUGCCUUUCUUGCAAUUGUGGUAGGCCAUGUGACUCAUUCUGGCUGAUGGACUCUGAGUGGAAAUGUCAUGUGUCACUUCUGGGCUGAGGCAGUCACGAGCUGGUAUGUCUCAUCCAUCUCUCUCUUCCUCUACCGUUGAAUCUUGCAAACCACCAGAUCCAGAAGGAAAAGCUACAGGGUGAAAGUGGUGCCUGAUCUUCAAUGAACUUUACAUGUUUGACGAAUAAAACUCAUGGUUAAGCUAGUGAGACUUAUGGCUUUUCUGUUGCAGCAGUUAGCAUUAUUUAUCCUGAUUAAUCCACCCAUCUAAAAUAUUUCCGCAU